rnacentral:rRNA from 1 species
AACGAACGCUGGCGGCAUGCCUAACACAUGCAAGUCGAACGAGACCUUCGGGGCUAGUGGCGCACGGGUGCGUAACGCGUGGGAAUCUGCCCUUGGGUUCGGAAUAACAGUUGGAAACGACUGCUAAUACCGGAUGAUGACGUAAGUCCAAAGAUUUAUCGCCCAGGGAUGAGCCCGCGUAGGAUUAGCUAGUUGGUGGGGUAAAGGCCUACCAAGGCGACGAUCCUUAGCUGGUCUGAGAGGAUGAUCAGCCACACUGGGACUGAGACACGGCCCAGACUCCUACGGGGGGCAGCAGUGGGGAAUAUUGGACAAUGGGCGAAAGCCUGGUCCCGCACUGCCGCGUGAGUGAUGAAGGCCUUAGGGUUGUAAAGCUCUUUUACCCGGGAUGAUAAUGACAGUACCGGGAGAAUAAGCCCCGGCUAACUCCGUG